UGGGCGAAAGCCUGACGGAGCAAUACCGCGUGAGGGAUGACGGCCUAUGGGUUGUAAACCUCUUUUUUCAGGGAGGAAUCAAUGACGUGUACCUGAAGAAUAAGCAUCGGCUAACUCCGUGCCAGCAGCCGCGGUAAGACGGAGGAUGCAAGUGUUAUCCGGAAUCACUGGGCGUAAAGCGUCUGUAGGUGGUUUGUUAAGUCAACUGUUAAAUCUUGAGGCUCAACUUCAAAUCAGCAGUCGAAACUAUCAGACUAGAGUAUAGUAGGGGUAAAGGGAAUUUCCAGUGGAGCGGUGAAAUGCGUAGAUAUUGGAAAGAACACCGAUGGCGAAGGCACUUUACUGGGCUAUUACUAACACUCAGAGACGAAAGCUAGGGUAGCAAAUGGGAUUAGAUACCCUAGUAGUCCUA
rnacentral:rRNA from 1 species